rnacentral:lncRNA from 1 species
CUCCAAGGUCUCGUGUCUCUCCCACCUCCUUCACCAAUUUGCUGCAGCUCCUCCCUUGUUGCCUUCAUGAAUUCUGCAGCAAAAAAUAGGCAAAGAACACACAAAAAAUUGCAUUUUUCUGAGAUUCUUGGAACACUAGAAUUGAAAAAUCUGCUCAUUCAAUUAACCGGUAUGCUGCAAGUAAAGAACGGUUAAAUCCAGAAAAAAGGCAGGAAAACAUUUUGACUCCUGCAAUGUAGCACUGCGACUGCACAUGGCACACCACCUACUUGCUUGCUUCCCCAAGAAUACCCCUCUUGGUUUGAUUCCGCAGAGAAACACACACACAUAUGGUUCAGCAACUUGAAAAGCAAAAAGAAAAAAACACAGCAGAUUCUUUAGAACACUACGGUGCGACAUCUUGAAACUUGCCAAGCUCCUGUUCAUUGGGGGGGGGGGGGGGGGGGGGCUUCUAACUCCUUGUAGUCAGCAUCCCUAUUUCUUCACAUCGUUAUCCAGCAUGUACAAAAGUACAAAAGAAACUUGCCCGAAAAGCUCCUGUUCAAAAAACAGAAAAAGAUAAACAAAAUGGACGCCGAUGUUGAAAAAUAUGUGGUUUGAAAAUAAAGAUGUUCAUGUUUAUUUUUUGGGCAUGCAAGUAUAUUAGUUUACUGCCAACUAUAUAUUAAAAAAAGCAACUAUAGUCUAUAGUGUGAGCAACUAAAAUAGUUCAAAGAACCUUAAUUAGCUAAGUUAGAAAAGCGACUUCAGGUGUUGGAGUGGGCAAGUAUAUCGACA